rnacentral:rRNA from 1 species
AUGAACGCUGGCGGCGUGCUUAACCCAUGCCAGUCGAACGGAAAGGCUCCUGCUUGCCGGGGUACUCGAGUGGCGAACGGGUGAGUAACACGUGGGUGAUCUGCCCUGCACUUCGGGAUAAGCCUGGGAAACUGGGUCUAAUACCGGAUAGGACCACAUUUUGGAUGGUGUGGUGGAAAGUUUUUCGGUGUGGGAUGAGCUCGCGGCCUAUCAGCUUGUUGGUGGGGUAAUGGCCUACCAAGGCGUCGACGGGUAGCCGGCCUGAGAGGGUGUACGGCCACAUUGGGACUGAGAUACGGCCCAGACUCCUACGGGAGGCAGCAGUGGGGAAUAUUGCACAAUGGGCGCAAGCCUGAUGCAGCGACGCCGCGUGGGGGAUGACGGCCUUCGGGUUGUAAACUCCUUUCGCUAGGGACGAAGCGUUUUUGUGACGGUACCUGGAGAAGAAGCACCGGCUAACUACGUG